rnacentral:lncRNA from 1 species
UUCUGCCUCCAAAACAGUGGCUGAUGAGUGAUGAAAGUCUGAUUUCCCAAGUAAAAAAGUACCUGUAUAGUCGCGAAAACACAUACCAUACCCCAUGAUAGAAUUAUUAUUAAAUGCAGCUGCAUCGACAUUGCAUUUAAUUGUACCUAUCGGUGGUUUGAUCCAGGAGUGGACAGAAUUUGCGUGGUGAAUUGGUGCCUUUUCUCGUUGCAUACAACUCCAUUCGUUGAUGACAUCCUUUGCUCGAGUGACAAUAGAAAUUGGAGUAGUAUCUGUGGCCUCCCAAAGUUUGGAAUUACGACUCUUCCAUAAGCUCCAGAG